CAGUCUGCGAUGAUUGACGAGGUCAAACAGGACUCACUUGCAUUGCUGGGUCUCUGUGGCGACAGGGAGGACUUGGAUCUGUUAAGAAAUGCUGGCUUAGAUUUAAUCAUCAUUUGUCUCCUAGCAUGGGCAUAUUGCUACCCCUGGAAAAAAAAAUCAGGGUGUAUGGGCAAAUAAAGUGGAGUGGAAUAACUGCUGGGUGGGCAGUUUAUCAAAGAAACUCUAGUAACGUGGAAAUUCAUGCUCUGAGUAGUGACAAGCCAGUGACUUUUUCUAUAGAAAGGGUACCAGACUCCAAUUUGAAAAUCUCAAGCAGCUUUAUAUUCAAGCAAGUUCAAUCCAAUCUCUUCCUGACUCACUGUCUCAUCAACAUGCAAAGCUCUCGAAAAGAAAUCAUCUCUUACUUGCCUGAGGGAGUUCUGGCAGACGUUUUGAAUGUGGAUGUGGAAGUUCUUUCCUCGUCUCCAUCCUGUCAAGAGCCGUGGAGCAAACAGCAGGAUGAGGAAGACAUGGAAGACAAAACUGAUAACGCACGUCACCUCGCUGCAGCGGGAGACGGAAUGUAACUUCAAUUCAGCCUCUUUGGGGUUUGGGUUCUGACCAAGUAAAUCGGGAAUGUUGUUAACAUAUCA
rnacentral:lncRNA from 1 species